rnacentral:lncRNA from 1 species
GCGUCUGACGUGCAUGCGAAGUAGAGGGUCUACAUAUCCAGACCUUUGCGAAGGUUUAUAUCAGAUAAUUUAAAAUUUGAUCUUUGGUUUCACUAUGAUUCAGAUAAAAAUUUGAUCCUUAAACAAGUAGAAUAUCAGAAAAAAUUUUUAGAUGCAACUUGGACAUUCUGAAGGAAAACUAUUUCCUUCCCUUCAAUUGGUAUCAGAGCAGGCCUGAAAUAUAUA